rnacentral:rRNA from 1 species
CCUACGGGUGGCAGCAGUGGGGAAUAUUGCACAAUGGGGGGAACCCUGAUGCAGCGACGCCGCGUGAGUGAAGAAGUAUUUCGGGAUUGAAAGCUCUUUCAGCAGGGAAGAAGAAAGACGGUACCUGACCAAGAAGCCCCGGCUAACUACGUGCCAGCAGCCGCGGUAAUACGUAGGGGGCAAGCGUUAUCCGGAUUUACUGGGUGUAAAGGGAGCGUAGACGGCAGGGCAAGUAUGGAGUGAAAGGGAGGGGCACAACCCCUGGACUGCUCUGGAAACUGUCCGGCGGGAGUGCAGGAGAGGUAAGUGGAAUUCCUAGUGUAGAGGUGAAAUGCGUAGAUAUUAGGAGGAAAACCAGUGGCGAGGGCGGCUUACUGGACUGUAACUGACGUUGAGGCUCGAAAGCGUGGGGAGCAAACAGGAUUAGAUACCCUUGUAGUC